GGGUGCAAACAUAGACUCUGCCCCAACUAGCUCGGAGGCUAAGAAAUGACUAUUCUAUAAAAUGGCAUCUGGCCAGUUAUGAGAUUUUCAGUCUUAGACACACCAAACAGGUCUAAAAGGAAAUUUCCAUACUGCUGGAACAGUUUCUUAGUUUGCUGACAUCUACCAACUUAGCAUCUCACUCUCCUCAUCUCCUCCUGCAUCAACAGUGGAAAACCAAAUCCUCUCCAUGUCCAACAAGAUGCAAUACCAACACACUACAGAGAGAGAGAGAGAGAGCAUGCAAUAUGUUCAUAUUCUCAUCAACCACAAUGAGGAAGGACCAAGAUCAGCUAAUUCCAGAAACCAGCUUUUCAUG
rnacentral:lncRNA from 1 species